GCAGUAGCCGCGGUAAUACGAAGGGUGCAAGCGUUAAUCGGAAUUACUGGGCGUAAAGCGUGCGUAGGCGGUUUGUUAAGUCUGCUGUGAAAUCCCCGGGCUCAACCUGGGAAUGGCAGUGGAUACUGGCAAGCUAGAGUGUGUCAGAGGAUGGUGGAAUUCCCGGUGUAGCGGUGAAAUGCGUAGAGAUCGGGAGGAACAUCAGUGGCGAAGGCGGCCAUCUGGGACAACACUGACGCUGAGGCACGAAAGCGUGGGGAGCAAACAGGAUUAGAUACCCCGGUAGUCCCUGUCUCUUAUAC
rnacentral:rRNA from 1 species